GUUAGGAGAGAUGAAAAGAAAGUAUCAAGGAGUGAGCUGAAGCCACUGCCCUUGAGAACCCUCUCGAGGAGUCUGGGCUCAUGAAGAUGCCAGAAUAAGUGGCAGGUAUAUCCUGAAUGAAUGUGAGAUUUUUACCCUGUGAAUUUCCUGUGAGGAGUGUAAGAAGAAAAAGAGCAAAAAUAAGAAGAGAAAAAGAGAAGAUGAAGAAACCCAGCUUGAUAUGUUGGAAUCUGGUGGACAGUAACAAACUUUGGUGAAAUUUCAGGAACUAUAGCCAUUGAAAUGGAUGAGGGAACCUAUAUACAUUCACUCGACAAUGGUCUUUUUACCCUGUGAGCUCCACACAGUGAAGUUGAUGAGGGUCCUAGUCCAACAGAACAGUUUAUGGCUGUCAAAUUAUCUGAUUACAG